rnacentral:rRNA from 1 species
CUGAGUAGACGCGAAACCUUGUGAUCUACCCUUGGUCAGGAUGAAGCCUCGUUAACACGGGGUGGAGGUCCGAACUAGUAAACGUUGAAAAGUUUUUGGAUGAACUGAGGGUAGGGGUGAAAGGCUAAUCAAACUGGGAAAUAGCUCGUACUCCCCGAAAUGCCUUUAGGGGCAGCGUGAGGGUUGAGUUUGUUAGAGGUAGAGCUACCAAUUGGACUAGGGGGAGUCAAAUCCUACCAAAUCCAGAUGAACUCCGAAUGCUAACAAAUAUACCUUGCAGUGAGGGCGCGGGUGCUAAGGUCCGUGUCCGAGAGGGAAAGAACCCAGACCAACAGCUAAGGUCCCAAAAUCUACACUAAGUUGAACUAAGGCGGUUCAGUUGCUUAGACAGCCAGGAUGUUUGCUUGGAAGCAGCAAUUCAUUUAAAGAGUGCGUAACAGCUCACUGGUCGAGCGACAGAGCAUCGAUAAUAAUCGGGCAUCAAGUGUAGUACCGAAGCUAUGGAUAUAUCUCGCAAGAGAUCUGUGGUAGGGGAGCAUUCUAACAUCGGAGAAGCAGGGGGGUCACCUUCUGUGGAGAGGUUAGAAAAGCAAAUGUAGGCAUAAGUAACGAUAAGGCGGGUGAGAAACCCGCCCACCGAUAGACUAAGGUUUCCGCGGCAAUGCUAAUCAACCGCGGGUAAGUCGGGUCCUAAGGCGAAGCCGAGAGGCGUAGUCGAUGGCCAACUGGUUAAUAUUCCAGUACUACCGUAAUGAGCGAAGAAGUGACGGAGGAGUGAAAGUUCCGCGCCCUGACGAACGUGGGCGUUGAAAGGCGUAGGUAUAGGCAGUGUAGGCAAAUCCGCACAGCUUGCUGAAACCCAAUAGUACACAGAGGCUUCGGCCGAAGUGAUAGAGAACGUAAGCAGACUUCCAAGAAAACCUUCUAGCGUUAAUCAUUAUGGUACCCGUACCGCAAACCGACACAGGUAGUCAAGGAGAGAAUCCUGAGGUGCUCGAGUGAAUCAUGGCUAAGGAACUCGGCAAAUUAACCCUGUAACUUCGGGAAAAGGGGUGCCCUCAGCAAUGAGGGUCGCAGAGAAAUGGCCCAGGCGACUGUUUAACAAAAACACAUGGCUAUGCGAAAUCGAAAGAUGAAGUAUAUGGCCUGACACCUGCCCGGUGCUGGAAGGUUAAGGGGGGACGUUAGUCGCAAGACAAAGCGUUGAACUGAAGCCCCAGUAAACGGCGGCCGUAACUAUAACGGUCCUAAGGUAGCGAAAUUCCUUGUCGGGUAAGUUCCGACCUGCACGAAUGGUGUAACGAUCUGGGCGCUGUCUCAGCCAUGAGCUCGGUGAAAUU